GUGGGGAAUAUUGGACAAUGGGCGCAAGCCUGAUCCAGCCAUGCCGCGUGAGUGAUGAAGGCCUUAGGGUUGUAAAGCUCUUUCAGUGGGGACGAUAAUGAAGGUACCCACAGAAGAAGCCCCGGCUAACUUCGUGCCAGCAGCCGCGGUAAUACGAAGGGGGCUAGCGUUGUUCGGAUUUACUGGGCGUAAAGCGCACGUAGGCGGAUCGUUAAGUCGGGGGUGAAAUCCUGGAGCUCAACUCCAGAACUGCCUGCGAUACUGGCGAUCUUGAGGCCGGAAGAGGUGAGUGGAACUGCUAGUGUAGAGGUGGAAUUCGUAGAUAUUAGGAAGAACACCAGUGGCGAAGGCGGCUCACUGGUCCGGUACUGACGCUGAGGUGCGAAAGCGUGGGGAGCAAACAGGAUUAGAUACCCUUGUAGUCC
rnacentral:rRNA from 1 species